UACGAAGGGGGCUAGCGUUGCUCGGAAUUACUGGGCGUAAAGCGCACGUAGGCGGCUUUCUAAGUCGGGGGUGAAAUCCUGGAGCUCAACUCCAAAACUGCCUUCGAUACUGGAAAGCUCGAGUCCGGGAGAGGUGAGUGGAACUGCGAGUGUAGAGGUGAAAUUCGUAGAUAUUCGCAAGAACACCAGUGGCGAAGGCGGCUCACUGGCCCGGUACUGACGCUGAGGUGCGAAAGCGUGGGGAGCGAACAGG
rnacentral:rRNA from 1 species